CAUUGGUCCAUAUUCAGUAGCUGCUGGGUUGUGUCUUGGCAGAAGGGGCAGCGGUUCAGAGGCCGGCCAGCCUUCCGCCUCCUGAUUAACACUUCACAGGCAGGAUCGCUCCCUACAGGGGUGGGGCUUUGGCUGGGAAGGCGGUGAGAGGCCAGCUCCUAUAGGGACUGGUGCCUGAACAAGGUCUGUUGGGCCAUUGGUUUGGCCAUUUCUGCUUCCUGAAUAGUAUUUUACUUCCAGCCUUGUGUGUGUGAAAGCUAAACGUGCAAGGUGAUUUUGAAAAAUUUCAAAGGCGCAAGCGAGAAAUUCUGCCAGCUUCGGAAUUUAUUUAAAUUUGUUUCUGAUGUUAGCUUUUUAGGUCACUAUUCUAAAAAAAUUUAAUGUAAGUACAGAAACUCACUAGAACAUCCUACAAGACAUACAAAUUUUAAAAAUCACUCACUCUUCCCUGUUUCACUAGAAGGUAAUUUUUUAUUUGCUCUAAGUGGACAAAAUUGUUUCCAAGGACAGUCUAGGAAGUAGGUUAUCAAAUGUAUUGGUUGUUAAUUGAGAAGAUGGUCUCCUCGAUAUUGUCACAUAGCAGGCUAGAACUCGGGGCUUUUGUGCACGGUGCCUAGUAAGCACUGCAGUGUUUGCUGCCGCGGUGGAGAGUGACAUGGAGGGAGCUGACGGUGCGAAUGGAAAGCACCUUCUCGUGGGUCCUGGGAGCCCGCUGUUCAGACGCUUGUAGACGGGCCGCUCGUUCCUGAAGAGGCUGAGGGACUAGAGGGGGUCACUUUAAAGAGGCAGUCGGUCGGGGGAAGUGUGUGGGGGGAGGCUCAGAGUUCCGUGAGCUUCUGAGCAGCACAAUCAUGUCACCGCACCGUGCCCCAGCCUGGGCCACGCGUGGAAACAUACGGGGCAGUGUCCUUUCAGAGCUGCUGUGCCUCCCAUAGCGUUUUGUCGCCAGCCGUCUUCAUUUCUGAGGGCCACCAGCAAGGUGAAGCGUUGUCCACACAUGUUCCUGACUGAACCCGAAAGAAAAGAUACAAGAGGGAAAAGCAAAAAGAAGUGAGACAGAGAGCAGAGCAGGUGCCAGGGCCACGGUCUCAGCAACCUCAGGACCCGGCACUGAGCCUGUGCUGGCCUUUCUGGGUCAUCACAGGGACUCAUUGCAAUCAGACUGUUGGCAGACGUCUGCGAAGGAAAGUGUGUGCGUGUGUGUGUAUAGUUCUACUUACAGAGAGCUUUGUAAGUAACAGAAGAGUUCUCUGUUCCGGAGCAGGUACAGGAGUAUUUCUCCUGGCUUGCCUGCUGAAGAGCUUCUAAAAGUAGGUUCCUUCCUAGUCUGAGCCCUCAGCUAUAAUAAUUUGGGGGUUAUUGCUAUUGGGAGGAGCACUGUAAACAUGGCUGGGACCUAUCUAGAGGUGAGAACCCUGAUAUCCCAGAUCUAAUCUAGAAUGCCCCUCAAGUGGACGAUGGCAUGACCUUCCUGGUGCUGUUUUGAACCUUAAAACAAUUGGCAGCUAAAACUAACCCAUGAAACCUCUGUAUUAAUGUGAAGUAGCCACAGUGAGCAUUGAUCGCCCCCAGGAAGUGCUUGCUGCGCGUGCGUACAACUUCUUGUUGGAAGAGGCAGCUCAUAAGCUGCUUGGUCCCUAUGCGUGCGCCUCCUUGUGGAGGCCACCGAGCCACCAAGGCUUGUCCACGUUGUGUUUCCUGGGGAUCCUCUCGGCUCAGGUAGAUAGGAGUCCGGGUUUUUGUUUGUUGCUGUGGUUUUUUCUCCAUUCAGUCUUGAAAGAGGAGUUUGUUGUCUCUGAAGUGUGGUGGGUGUAACCCAUCUUCCUACUGUAAGUCUCCACUUUCUUGCUUCCAAGUCCCAAGUCUUUGCUUAAAGUGAUGAAAGGAGCGUUGUUCAUCCAUCCUAGUAACUUUAGUUUUACAGAUUUUGAACAAAAUUUGGGUCUUGAACUAAUGGACCAAUGAUCUGUUUCAUGGAUAUCCUUUUAGGCAACAGUGAACAUUUGGAAUGGCUUUGUAUUUCUCAUUUGUAAAUGAAGGACAUUAAUUUUUAAGUAUUGCUGUGAUCUGAUAUGGUCCUGUUUAUAUCAUCUUUUCUCUUUUUUUAACAACUUUCUUUUUUAGAUUAUUUUUAGACUGAUAGGAAAAGUUGCAAAGAUAGUACAUGGAAUUCCCAUAUUACACCCCCACCCUCCCCACCCCUGCACCCAAUUUCCCCUGUUGUUAAUAUUGUACAUUAUACUGUGGUACAUUCAUCAUAACUAAUGAACCAGUACUGAUACAUUAUUAUUAACUGAAGUACAUCGUUUUUCACAUUUCCUUAGUUUUUACCUAAUGUCCAGGAUCCCAUCGAGGAUGCCACAUUGUAUAGAGUUCAUGAUCAUGUUGCCUCAGGCGCCUCUGGACUCUGAGAGUUUGUCAGACUUUUUUGUUAAAAUUCCUGGCAGUAGCCAUUGACAGUCACCAUGCAGCUAACACAGUCACCACAUUCACUCUGCCAUGUUAUAAAUCUGAAAGUCUUCUAUCUUCGCUGAACAUUCCCUUGACGUAUUUUCCUUGAGGCUGUUUAUAUUUAAUAUGUUAAGUUGGGACUUUUGAACUGGCGUAUAAUUGUCUCCCUCCUGUAGGUUUCUACAUCUAGCUUCCUCUCCUCUAACCUUAUGUCAUUACACGGAAACUAUUGACUGGGGCCAGCCUAGAACCAGAGCUCAUAUUUCUGUCACUGGGAUCAUCCCUAGAUUACACAGGCCUAGUGAACAUAAUUGAAUUGUCAGAGUGUCUCUGAGUGCCUACCUCUUACGGUUUUCUCAUCUCAGUCCUUACAUUUAAGAUAAUAGUGCUCCUCGGUGCCCUCCCUUCCUACAGCAGAGAGGACUUCGAGAUCGGUGAGCAGAAGGAGGAGUCUGUGGCCUUACGCAGAUGAGGGCGGUCCUUCCAGUUGGGAAUUGAAUGGCUUGGAAGGGGAAAGUGAGGCUCACAAAUAGGAGCAGUGAUUAGCGUACAGAGAGGGAGAGGAUGCAGCCGCUCCACAGCCAGAUGUUCACCGCUGGGCUCCCAGGGCCCAGGCAGAGCUGGGCACAUAGCAGUGACUCAUCCGUGUGAACGAAUGAGUGAUACAUCUUUAUUGAUCUCAGAGAGGAAGGGAGAGAGAGAGAAACAUCCAUGAUGAGAGAGAAUCAUGGAUUGGCUGCCUCCUGCACGCCCCACACUGGGAUCGAGCCCACAACCCAGGCAUAUGCCCUUGGCCAGAAUCAAAACCGGGACCCUUCAGUCCACAGACCGACGCUCCACUCACUGAGCCAAACCAGCUAGG